rnacentral:rRNA from 1 species
GUAGGUGGCAAGCGUUGUCCGGAAUUAUUGGGCGUAAAGCGCGCGCAGGCGGUUUUUUAAGUCUGAUGUGAAAGCCCACGGCUCAACCGUGGAGGGUCAUUGGAAACUGGAGAACUUGAGUACAGAAGAGGAAAGCGGAAUUCCACGUGUAGCGGUGAAAUGCGUAGAGAUGUGGAGGAACACCAGUGGCGAAGGCGGCUUUCUGGUCUGUAACUGACGCUGAGGCGCGAAAGCGUGGGGAGCAAACAGGGAUUAGAUACCCUGGUAGUCCACGCCGUAAACGAUGAGUGCUAAGUGUUAGGGGGUUUCCCGCCCCCUUAGUGCUGCAGCUAACGCAUUAAGCACUCCGCCUGGGGAGUACGGCCCGCAAGGCUG